CUGGCUCAGGAUGAACGCUAGCUACAGGCUUAACACAUGCAAGUCGAGGGGCAGCGGGAUUGAAGCUUGCUUCAAUUGCCGGCGACCGGCGCACGGGUGAGUAACGCGUAUCCAACCUUCCGCUUACUCGGGGAUAGCCUUUCGAAAGAAAGAUUAAUACCCGAUGGUAUCUUAAGCACGCAUGAGAUUAAGAUUAAAGAUUUAUCGGUAAGCGAUGGGGAUGCGUUCCAUUAGGCAGUUGGCGGGGUAACGGCCCACCAAACCUACGAUGGAUAGGGGUUCUGAGAGGAAGGUCCCCCACAUUGGAACUGAGACACGGUCCAAACUCCUACGGGAGGCAGCAGUGAGGAAUAUUGGUCAAUGGGCGAGAGCCUGAACCAGCCAAGUAGCGUGAAGGAUGACGGCCCUACGGGUUGUAAACUUCUUUUGUGCGGGAAUAAAGGAACCUACGUGUAGGUUUUUGCAUGUACCGUAACGAAUAAGCAUCGGCUAACUCCGUGCCAGCAGCCGCGGUAAUACGGAGGAUGCGAGCGUUAUCCGGAUUUAUUGGGUUUAAAGGGAGCGUAGACGGGUUUUUAAGUCAGCUGUGAAAGUUUGGGGCUCAACCUUAAAAUUGCAGUUGAAACUGGAGACCUUGAGUACGGUUGAGGCAGGCGGAAUUCGUGGUGUAGCGGUGAAAUGCUUAGAUAUCACGAAGAACCCCGAUUGCGAAGGCAGCCUGCUAAGCCGCCACUGACGUUGAGGCUCGAAAGUGCGGGUAUCAAACAGGAUUAGAUACCCUGGUAGUCCGCACGGUAAACGAUGGAUACUCGCUGUUGGCGAUAGACUGUCAGCGGCCAAGCGAAAGCGUUAAGUAUCCCACCUGGGGAGUACGCCGGCAACGGUGAAACUCAAAGGAAUUGACGGGGGCCCGCACAAGCGGAGGAACAUGUGGUUUAAUUCGAUGAUACGCGAGGAACCUUACCCGGGCUUAAAUUGCAACUGACGGAAUCGGAAACGGUUCUUUCUUCGGACAGUUGUGAAGGUGCUGCAUGGUUGUCG
rnacentral:rRNA from 1 species